GGUUGCAGGUGUAACUUUAGAAAGUUGUCUCCUCUUAGGAAAAGUGCUAAUGGCUGAAGCAGGAUUACAGUCUGAGGAUGAAAAAGCCAUUCAAACACACUCAGGUGAUGGAAUUCUGGGACUAACACUUUAAUUUGAUUUUCCUUUGUCAGCACCAUUUACAGAGAGCAAAGAAGUUUGUCAGGGAAUUAGAGAAGAUUCACUGGGAAGGGUUUUUUAAGGACCAAGGCAACUAAACGGUCUGUACUUCAAGGUCAAGUCUGCAUCGCUUACUCCAUUGUUGGGCAAGUCUCCGUGUGGCUAGAAGCAUGAGAAGAAAGGUCGGGUGUCCCAGUGUGAAGGCUGGUACCAGAAAAUUAAAAUGUGCAACCACACCUCUGAAGCCUGGCAUUCAUUCAGGCUGGGGCAGCAGCCUUGUGGGGGCUUUGCAAGUCACUCCCUCUCCAAGGCUAAGCGUGGAAGAGAUGCUGAAACCAUCCAAGCAAGGACUGGGCAUGGAGGGGCUGAUGAAGUCACCCAUUGGCAAAACAUGGUACCACCCCAUCUCCAGUGUACUCCCCAUUCCUGCUUGCCAUCAGCCUUACCCAUCUCUUUUAUCACCACCAUCACCACCACCCCCCGCCCGGCCUUCCACAACUUUCCUUCCUUUGACCUUCGCCUCAAGUCUCCUCUCCCCUGGAAUCCCGUUCGAUUUCAUUUAAACUCAAUUGAUGUUUCAAACUCUGCCUCCUCCCUAAAGAUUUUUACCUGAGUCUUUCGUCUUGUAAAAAAUCUCCCAACCCAUCCACCUGUUAAACAACAACUGUUUACGCCAACUCCAACCCCUGGCAACCACCAUUCUUUCUAUCUGUAUAGACUGGACUCCCCUAAGGAUCUGUGUAAAUGGGAUCAUGGAGUUCUUUUCCUUUUGAGGCCAGUUUUAUUUCACUUAGCAUAUCUUCAAGGUUCAUGCAUUUUAUAGCCUGUGUCCAAAUUCCCUUCCUGUUUAAAAGCUGAAGACCUUGUAAUUUAUAAAUAUAUCACAUCGGAUUGAAAACAAAAA